CAUAUAAAUAGCUUAAAGUUAGGUGAAAGCAUUGAGUUUUUAUCUCAAAGAUGACAAAAGUCUUUUAUGA
rnacentral:tRNA from 1 species